CCUCCCAUCCCAAAUACAGCAUCCCAUCCCAAAUACAGCAUCCCCAACCCUGGGGCCAAGGCUGCUUCCCAUCCCAAACACAGCAAACACUGCCCUGAUGCCCGCAGUGACUCAGGAACCCUGGGCCAGGGCAGCCUCCCACCCCAAACACAUCAUUCCCCUUUCCCUGAUCCCCAUCCUGCCCUAUCCAGAGCAGGCUCCCUGCAGAUGAGAGCUGGGGCUCCCUGCCAAGCAGUCCCAAAGGGAAUUGCAGCCCUGAGCCCCAGCCCUGCCCCAGGGAGGGAGGGGAACAGCACCCACCCGCAGGGGUUUGCAGUUCUCCUGGACGUAUCUGCCGUCGGACGUGUUCUCAUCCCACACCAGGCUGCCAUUGUGGAAGUAUUUCUGCUUCCUGCAUGGGAAAGGUGGGGUCAGGCAGGAGCUCUCCCUCCCUGCAGGUGGUGGUGCCUGGCUGGGCUCAGGACCAGGCUCUUACCGAGUUUUGUGGACCAUGUGGGAUGGGAGCGGCCCCAGGAUCUUCUCCAUCAUGACAAGGUGCUCUCGGUUCUCGUGGGUCUGCAAAGGAGCACAGCAGUGGUGGAUCAGAGCUCGGGGAGCUGGUGACAAAAGAGAACAGACAUAACCAAAACCCAGAAGUGAUCCCAACUCUGUCCUUCCAGCAAGGCACUCCUCAAACCAGCCCUUUUCCAGGCCUCAUUUUCACACUCAGCCUCUCAUUUUCAGUGCUUGAUCUGUGUUUCCCUCCCCUUCACCUAAUCCCGAGCCCUUCUGGACACAAAGGGUUCUCAGGGAACGAGAAUCCUACCUGGAAGAGCGUGAAGCCACGGUAAUACUCAAACAGAAUGCAGCCAGUGCUCCAGACAUCACAGGGCUGUGCCCAGCCCAGCUCUGCAAAGAAAACCAAAUUAACUCUGUGCUCCCAGCUGUCAUGGACAUAUUCUAUGAAAAAUCCUUUUGUUAGGAUUUUUCCUCCUGAGAAGCUGAGAGGCCUCAGAAACAAAAUGUAAACAAUGAUUAUCUGCUGCUGUGGAAUGCAACAGGUGGAUCUGUGAUUGGUCUCAUGAGGUUGUUUAUAAUUAAUGGCCACUCACAGUCUGGCUGUCUCAGACUCUCCAGUCAGUCACAAGAUUUUAUUAUCAUUCCAUUAUUUUUCUAUUCCUUUCAAGCCUUCUGAUAAAAUCCUUUCUUUUAGCAUAGUUUUAAUAUAUCAUUUUAUUUUAAUUUAUCAUAAAAUAAUAAAUCAGCCUUCUGAAA